rnacentral:lncRNA from 1 species
UUGGAAUUACUUCUAGUGUGGCGCUUGUGUGAAACUGUCUCUGCUGCACUUGUAGGCUUGCUGUCAUGUGUCGAAUGAUCUAAUUGUUGGUUUUGAGGUGAAUGUUUAUUUGUCGUAGAUGAUUCUUGCUUCUUCCCUUUCUCAGGUUCUACUUUGUCCACAUUCGUUUCCUGCUGAAGCAGAUUCUUUUGUUUAUUUUCCGUGAAUGAUUCUUGCUUCUUCCCUUUCUCAGAUUCAGCUUUGUCCACAUUCGUUUCCUGCUGAACCGGAUUCUUAUGUUUAUUUGCGGUAGAUGAUUCUUGCUUCUUCCCUUUCUCAGAUUCCGCUUUGUCCACAUCCAUUUCCUGCUGAACCGGAUUCCUAUGUCUAUUUGCCAUAGAUGAUUCUUGCUUCUUCCCUUUCUCACCUUCCGCUUUGUCGACUUUCAUUUCCUUCUGCAGCAGAUUCUUGGUUCAGAGAAUUUCGUUUAAAACAAAUUCUCACAUAGCCAUGAGAUGUGAAUUUAAGAUAAAAGCAAAGCAGCCUAAGACUCCAUUAGGAUUAUUCAAAACGCCACACAUCAAUAUGUAACUACCAUUUAGGAAUAUGCACCGACAGAGCAGUGGCUUAAUCACUCACCAUUUGAACAUUUAUUGGAUUUUCUUCACAUGACUUUCAGGAAAGCUGAAUUUGCUAGCUAGUACUAUUUCCAUGCUAACAAAUUAAACGUACAAAAUUCCAAUAAGUAGGUAGAGGUUUGGAUUUCAAAGAAAAUGAAGUGAAUUCAUCAAAGUAAAACAAUAGAAACAAAUUCUUAUUCUAGGAAACAUCAUUUUGCCUCAAAUGUAUUUGAGUUUACCUUGCUUCUUGACCUCAUAGGAGCUUCAGCACCCUUUGUCUUAUCCUUCCUGUAUUAAGAGUAAACAAGCAUGUCUAUAUGGUUACCAAGUUCAUAAAGAGAUGAGAAUGGAGGAAUUGAGAAGGAAUAUAUAAAUAAACAUCUAAAGAGGAUUAUUGGCGAGUUAACAGUUGCCUAACAACUCCAGAUGUAUUUUACAAUUCCAAUCACUACAAGGAUGAUAUGUAUUCCACUCCAAAGAGACAAAUCAAAGAAAUGUUAUGUAACACAUAUCCACAAAAUAUGACAUUGCGACAGAACCAACUUAAAGCUUACAUUUUUGUUUGAUGAUUUGGUUCACGUUGAGUGCAUGAGUCACUCAUGGAAACAGACUUUUGCUCAGGCUGUUGAUUAAGCUGUGUCCCCAGCUCAUUAACCCUUUUGUUCAAAUUUCUUACGUCUGCCUCUGACCGAGCUAUGUCCUUGAGAUCUUCUUUUGUCUUUAUAAUAUCGGCAAGUUAAAAUUUGAUGCAAAUAAAGAUUAGGCACACUAGUUAAAUCUGAGGUAGGCCAUAGACUACCUUUUCGUCAAUCUUCUCUGGGAGAGAUGUGGGUCCUUGAGAUGGGUUAAGUCCUGCUUCCAGAGCUGUCCUCUUUUCUCUCGCCCUUUGAAGCUCUUCCUCUAACCUUGCAACCUAUAAGUACAACCAGGAGCAACAAUCAAGGAGGGGUCAUUCACAUAAAACUAGCACAGCACUUGCGAAAAAAUAUAUAUAAAAUUCCAUACAUUACCAAAUCAAAAUAAAAAGAUUUUUCAACAAAACAAAUGAAUGCUUCCAGGUUCCAGCAAAUAUAUAAUUGUCCAUUAUAGAUUUAUUUUCAUGCAUCUACCUACUGCUGAUAUUGAGUCCUCACCUCUUUCUGCUAGCAAAUAUAUAAUUGUCCAUUAUAAUAUUAACAACAAAUUUACACAAGAUUUUUGUCCUUCAAAAAGGAGUGUUUGCAUUAGUAAAAUGAACCGACACAAACAAUGAAGCACCUAAAUGCUUUUAAUGCUCCUAAUUAUGACUUGUUUUAGCUAAGCCAUGUUGAUAUUCAAGACAAAAGAAAGAAAUGCAAAAGCAGAUCUCUAAUAACUUUUUUAAAAAUGUUUCAGCAGAAAAGGUUGCCUUUAACGUAUAUGUUUUCUUAGGAUCACAAUAUGCAUGUUUGUUACCAACAGAUAUGCAACCUAACACAAUGCAUGAAACAGAAAACACAGCACAGAAGGAAACAAAGAUCUCCUGACAAACAUACCUCCUUCUCAAGAGCUAGACGUUGCUCAUGCAGUGCCUUCUUUCGUUUCUCCAAGUUGGCUUCAAGAAUGGUAUUACUUUCAAUCUAUAUAAGAAAGAUGACUUGAUAUGAAAUGUCUCAAAAACUUGCUGCAAUAACAGUAACUAGAAAGGAUGGACAAAGCAGAACCUCUUCUGUGAGUCUCUUUUGCAAGUCCAAUUUUUCAGCCUCAAGUGACUCAACCGCAGCCCUAAGAUUGGGUCAAAAUCAGGUAAGUAGAAAAGAAAAUAGAGGUAUUCUUAAAAAGAUACAAAGGUCAGACUGCAUUAUUUUUUCUUUUCCACUUUUGGCUUCAAAAAUCAGUUAUGCAAAGGGUAAAUUGCUUCACCCUAAGCAUGAAAGAAGAUUUAGAUGUUGCUUGGAACUUUUAAUGGGUCUCUGAGUUAUUCAAGCAUAACCAGGAAAAUAAGUAGUAGCAGGCAAAUUGAUACAAGGUCUUUUUUCUAAAGAUCGUGGGAACAUCACUUACUCUUCUUCAAUUGGAUAAUCAAUGGAAUCCAUAGAUAGUUUCUUGCUUCCCUGGACAAACAAACACAAUAAAUUAAUUGAUAGUUACUACAAGAUUAUAAACACAUGGAUCAACUUAAGCAGUUAUAAUUUGUUUAAUGCUUGGAAAUACUUAAUCCAACAGAAAAGUCAAAAGAAUUAGCCCAAAAGCAGUAACACAUCAUCAACAAUAGAACAAACACUUACACUACUCCUCCACAUAGUUCCUUGCCUAACAUUGAGGCCAGGUCCAUUUCCAACAGCUGGGGGUUUUGAGGCGGAUGUGAUUGAAUUCUGACGAGUUGAUGUAUCCUCCAACUUGGUUACUCCAUGAACACCUUUUGACAGCUCAGCUGGCUUAUUGGUCUCAGUUUCUGAACUUUUACUAAUUCGGUUAUCUUCCUUCCUCUUUGACCCAUCAUUUGGAUGAAGUGGACUUGAUUUUUUCUUGGUGGCUUGGACAUAAUUACCAGAUUUAGAGGACUCAGAACUAGAGCUCGAAGAAUCAUAAUCCUGCAAAUUUAUUUUCUAUUCAUGUAAGUAUAGUGUCUCAUCUUUUAAUUACUGAUUUAUUGCACUUUCACCUUAUUUAAGUUAAAAGAAUCAAUACUCAAAAUCUGAAUUUGAGGGACCACCGAAAGUAAGAAGACAGCUACACGUUUCAAAUAAAAAAUAGCAAAAGGAAAAAAAAUCAUAAUUCCUAUAUGGGAGAAGGAUAGAGAACUAUAUACCAUCAGAUUCUAAUACAUAGUGCUGCAAAGAUAAUUUAGAACAUAAUCAUAUAGCAGUAAUUCAUGUUCAUAUCAUGAGUAUAAAUUCAAAGGCAUUAGGCAUGGAAACAAUCAGACAAUAGAAACCUUGAGUCACCAAAUGGUGACAAAUGAAGCAGAUAGACAAUCUACAAAAUCAUUAAAAAAAUGUAAUUUGAGAAUAUAAAUCUGGCUACCUACGAGCUCAGCACAUAUCUUGCACUAAACAGAGGUGAAUGUCUUAAUGAGAUCUGGAGAAGAGAGCUUUAAUAGUCCAAAAUUUUGUAUUAAGUUUGUUACUGCCAUCAUGUUUGAAGUUUACGAACAAGAUAUAAAACAUAAAUUCCUGUGUAAGAAAGUAGAGGAACAAACCUUAUCAUCACUUUUAACAGAAUGACCACCCUCGCUGCCUGUUCCACUUUCUGCAUAGUCAUCAUCCUCAUCAGACUCUUGUGAUUCGUCAUCACAUUCAUCGUCUUCAUAAUCUUCAUCAUCUUCAUCAGACUCAUCAUCAUCAGCUUCCUCCUCACUUCCACUUCCACUCUCUUCUGAGUCAGAGUACAUAUCAUGGGAAACACAACCUUCCUGCCAACAAAAUGCUGAGCUCAUAACUGCAAUGUAAAAACCAAAUCCAAACCAAAGCAAUAAAAAAAUUGGAAUAUGGAACAAGAACAACCAAAUUCUCAUCUUUUUUUUUUUCUUGAAGAAUAUUAAUAUUAUAAAAGACUUAGAAAUAUUCAAUUACAAGGAAAGAAUGUAAUGAGGAUAUAAGGACUCAGCUUAACCGUAUUCAGAUUCCACCAUUAGACAGUAAUAAUCUAGUCACCAUGCGUGCAGGACAACGCAUGAAAAUUUUGACUUAAUGGUCAUGCUUACUCAAAAAUAACAGAGAGAAAUAAAACAUAGUCCAAACUAAAGAUAAAGCCUUAUAGCUCAUAGAUUUAUGGCAUACAUACUUUCCUGUAUAGUGAAUAAAGAAAACCAUAUUAGAAGCAAUUGUGAAAAGAAAACAGUAAUUACAGCUUACCCCAAAUAUUUUAUCAUACUCUUCCAGUAGUGUUAUACAAAUGGCUUGAGCAUGAUUGGCUGCAGCAGCAGCUUGCAGCAGUUGCAUUGAGCCAUCACCACCCACAUCAAAAUCGCUUUCAAUCUCACAGUCGCCGGAUAGAAGCGGGCGAAGAAGCAAGGGUGCCAUGCAUGCUGCAACAGCUGAAGAGCUCAUUCGAUUUUCAUUUUUAUGAGAAGCCACAAUUUGCAUCAUAUUUAGAAUUCUGAAAGAGAGAAACAAGAAAAGAUAAGUACGGAUAAGCAGGUAGAAGCCAAGAUGGCAUUCUCAAGGGAUGUCACACAUAGUUUUCAAAACUUAAACUUAAAUUCUGAAAACUAACAGAACAUAUAGAGAUACAUUCUGCUUUUGAGCACAUUAAAUUCUGGUGUGCUAGGAAUAUUGAUUGCAGUUUCUAUAUUUAUGUAUUCUGCAAGAUACUAUAUCAUAUCCCACUCACCCCUUUAGCAAGGACUGAGACAUAUAUCAGAGGGUUACGCACCAGAAAAAUUGUUGUACCAACAAGUAAUUGUGGAUAACCAACCAGUUUAUACUCUGUACAGAAAGGGAUUAAACAAGUGUGAAACUUCUUACCUCUAAUUUUCACUACACUUGUCAUUCUAUAUCUAUAUUCAUUCAUAAUUUAAUUUUAAUCUAAUUUUCUAAUUUUAUACAUGCAUGGACGUUAACUAUGCUUGAUCUUUUUUUUAACUAUUCUGCUUAUCUUCUAUUAAUAGUUUGUUAUUAAUAAUUGUAUUGUAUAGGAAAGACCAGGUUAACUGCAAACAAGAGUUAUGUUGCAUAUCAUUUAAAACCAUAAUAUAAAUAUACUUAUUUUAACCGCUAUAUGCAUUAACAGCUCUCUUUUAAUUAAUAUCCAUAGUGCUCAGAAAUAAAUGCAAAAAUUGCAUACGGAAUAUAAUUUGUACUAAGAAAAGCAUUAUACUUAAAAGGGCAAGGGCUGACAGUGAGAGUCGGCUACCUCUGUAAUAAGCGACGGUUGGGCUCAGGAAACGUAUCCAAUACUGCCAUACGCAUAGCAUUGACUCUAGCACUGUGCUCGGUUCCUAAUCAUUGUAUGAUGUCCAAUAACAGAAUAACAAAUCCGAAUCUUCAAAAAUCAUAACGCUUGGGUAAUAAAUCAUCCAAAAAGCAAAGUCAUAGAGCUCAAAAAUAUGCACCCAGACAAUUUCCACUGCAUUCCUUAGGGAACCAACCAGUUCAGAAUACAAGAACUUCACCCAAAGGAUGCUGAGAACUCAGCAUAUCAAAUUCCUAUAUUUACUUAAGAUUAAUGAAUUGUAAAAUGCAGGAUAUUUAACUCUAAUAAGGAUUACCCAACAAAGACUUACUUUAAAAUUAGAGGUAUCAAGAUCCAAUUGUGGCAAAGCAUCUUAUGGCCUCAAUUUAUUACAAGACCAAAAAAAAAAAAAAAAAAAAAAAACCAAAAACCAGUUCAACGAAAGACUUACGGCAUGCUUCUAGUAGCGCAUUGCAGCAUGAUGCAGGGACAGGAGAAGAAGGCAACUCUCGAAUUACAUACUGAACAAAUGGCAUGAAGCAGAUUAAGCAACAAAAUACCAGAAGUAUAUGUUGCAACUUCAAUGAAAGAAUCUUGCAGAAACUACAAAUGCAUACCUUGACACAGUCAGCAAUGACAUGUGCAUCCUCGUCGGGAGAAAACUCAAUUUUUCCUGCCAAAAGAAAAGCAUCACCCAAGAAAGAGUUCAAAGACUAACAGAGGGCAUUGUAAUGUAGAAUUACAAGCAUAAAAGUAGCUUUGACUUCUUGCUCUGUCCUAUACAGUAAGAAAGGAAAUUUCCUUACAGUUCAAAUUUAAAUACUUAUAAUGCUACCUUCGAUAGCAUUGUUUACAAGCAAACAUUAAUUAUUGAAUGUGCAAAUCCAUUGUACGAAAAGAAUAGCGACAAGAAAUUAAAAAGAAAAAAUAGAAUACUGAAUAUAGUCAAGGAAAGCAUGUUUUGGACAAACCCUGUUCAUAUUCCCGAAUUCUGCGCUCAACAUCUUCAACAUCUGCAGCCUGCCGUAAGAUCCCUUCUACUUUGACUCCUGUGAAAUUAUUUUAACAAAAGUAGCUCAAUGAAAAUGAAUAACAGUGCUAUGUCAUGUGACUUAAAUCACCGAAAGUAACAUCACACGCACAGCUUCUGAGGCCACUAAAAUUGUGAACAAUGUGGAAAGUUCUUGAAACAAAGAUAAAGAAAACGAGACAGAAGCAGUGGUGCAGCCAUGCAGGAACCUUAUCCAGAUUAUGGAUAUCUCAAAAAAUUAUAUGAAUAAAAAAAGACAUGCACAUAUAUUCACUUGACUAUAUAUGCAUUAGAGACAGUUACCCGGUAUAUGGAAUUAGAGAUUUAGCACACUACUUAAAUGAGAUUCCAACAAUUAAAACAAAAGAAUAACUCACCAUGCUCUUCUACAAAUCUCAGGGCCUUCUCCAAAAAUGUUGGAGCUCCAUCAACAUCUUCCAGUGCAAGUAAAAUUGGUCUGUGUAAGACAGAGGAUCUCACAGGCUGUUUAUCAUUCACUAACAAAGAUAAGAGGAGAGCAUCAAUAUCUCAUAUAUGAGGAAAAAUAAAUCAAAAGAGCCAACCAAGUUAGAGCCUAGAAACAACUUGACAAACUUGUAAAGAAAAAUAACAAGAUAAAGAAAGGAAAACUAGAAAAAAGGAGGGUACCUAGAAGAAAAAAUGGAAGGAACUACCAUCUAAGGCUCCGGAUUAGUAACAUGCUUGAACUUUUAGGAUAAUGAACUUAUGUCAUGCAUUAUUUCUGAUGUUUAAAUUAGAAGCAACAUAUGAAUGAAGCCCUGUACAUGUAUCAUUCAAAGUUGCACAAAAUUAAAAAAAAAAGUGGUGCAGUAAACUUACCCGGUUCCUUAGAACCAUCAACUGCUUCUGCCUGAUCAUUCCCAAAGAUGCCAUUUUGUCCCGCUGAAAGAGCAGAACUUGGUGCUUGUGACAAAGCUUUCUCAAGUGCAGCCUUCCACUCGUACAAAUCGUCCAAAGUUUCAGCCUGCAACAUCAACAAAUGGAACCUGUCAUGUCAUAUGAUUUCCCAAAAUCUCACUGUUAUUUUCAUUUGAUUAAGCAUUUAAUUUUCUGACAACAUCAAACACAUAAUAAGUACAUUUCUGCCUUCAAAACCAGUAAUGUGGCAAAAGAAAUUCUUAAUAAAGGGUUUCAAAGGACAAAAGAAUGCUAUCAGCAGGGCAUUGAGUGAACUACUUGUAUAAAACUUCUAUAUACCAAAGAUGAAAUUUUCCUGUUCAGGGCAUUCUGUUUACGCGGAGGUGUUUGUCACUCAGAACCAAGUCUUCAGCUUUUCAUUAAAUUCAGCCUUGGUUAGAUUCAUUUGAUCAUCUUUAGGUGUGAGGAAGAUCUUUGACUGUUUUGGCAGAAUCUUGAUAUAUGCUGUUCAAAUAGAAAGCUCACAACUAUUUAUCAAGCAAAGGAAAAUGUAAAACCAAAGGGCCGCGAAUCUGAAAAUCUGAUUAGUUUUAGAGGAAAGUAUGAUGCAAAAAUGGUAACAAAAAAAAAAAAAAAGGAAUGAAAGGAGAAAUUAUAGAUGAAUGGGAUGAACAACCUUGAGUGUGAAGGUUCGUCCAUCGCGGCCAUCUUGAAAUAGUACGGUUAUGAGUUUUUUGUCAGCUUUGACAACCACACUAGAAAUUUUGAAAGGUACCACGAAUUAGUAAACAUUUCCAACUUUGAUGUCAUUCACAAUUUGGAGAAGAGAUCACCAAUUAAUAAUUAAUCUUUUCAGAAUGCAAGCCAACCUGCCUGAAUUGUUGAGAUCAAUACCACCAAGAGUUAAAUUCACUUCAUUCCCCUUCUGAGAAACAGCAUUCUGGGAAGUUAACAAGAGUAUAUUAGUCUUCUAAAAUCAUAAAGUACACAGAAUGCAGCAAGAGAGAGAGAAAUGCACUAGUGCACAGAAUGUAGAGAAAAGAGAAAAUAAUAUAGAACAAUAAUAGCAUCCAACCAAUAAAUAUCAACCCAUCUAGAUGUUUUAAUUUGCCUCAAUGAUUGCAUACUUCAGUUCUUCCCCAAUAUCCUAUCCCAAGCCCUUUCCUCAGUUGAAGCAACUGUUAAAUAGUUUUGCUGUUAUUCUUCGAGGUGAAGCUCUCAAAUAACACAUCUUGUAGAAGAGGCCCAUAUGUCUUAUGGUACAUCUAAAUUAAGUUUAACCCAAUUAUAUAUUAGGACCCAUCUGAAGAAUUCCCAUCUUUCCUUUAAUGUACUCUGCUGGAGAAUAAAAGAACUGAUAUAGACUGAGCUAAAAAACCAUAAUUGUCAAAUUAUAUGGUGUUUAAUAACAAUCAUUUCUACCACACUAAAAAUGUACAUCCAUAAAUUGCUAAUGGAUCACUAAAUUAACAUUCAUUUCUUCUUGAUUGGUAAAUUUCAUGGAUUUAUUAGCCACAAUAAUGAUUUAAUUUUAGGUCAGGUUUCCAGAUCUCCUGGGAUUAAUCUAGCAUGAAGGCUUCCGGAUAUUCUUAUUUAGUCUGUCCCAAGAUAACCUAAAAAGUGUAAAAGCAUUGACAAGACCUGCUGUGUGAAAAAGACACCAGAGUCUCAUUUUCAUUCAUCUUUUAGAUUGAGAUAUAUUCUAGCCACUAAUAGUCAUUGACAGAAGAGGAAUGAAACUCAAAAAUCAAAUGCUUCUGACUAAAAGAGAACUAGACACAUAAAGAACCGGAUUCUUCUGAUUGAGAGAGAACUAGGCCAUAUAAAAGAUAACCGUACCAAUUAGUAUCAUCCUUGGGAUCCUAAAGCCUUGUAUAGUCAGAAAAACAGUACAUCAUUUUACCUUUACUGCAUAUUUAUGAUUAUUCAAUUGUUGUGCCAAGAAAACAGCAAUGUUGAGACUGACAAUCUGCCAAAUUGCAAGUACUUACAGGAUCACUUCUGAAGAAAACCAGCGAAGUAUGUGUCAAAAUAAACCACCUUUUCUUCCAUGAUGUCCAUCCAAUUCCUUUAAUCAAAUAAAAAUAAGGAAAGAAAGAAAAGCAAAUGAGUAACUAAAUUAAAUUGCAAAGCAAAGUAACGACCCUCAUAAUGCACAUUUUUCUAGUAAAUAAAAGUAAAACAGUGCUUCACAAAACGUAAAGAGAAAGGCAAAUGAGUAACUAAAUUAAAUGGCAAAAGCAAAGUAUGCAAACCUUUUGAUGAUAGAAAAAGUGGCCCACUCUUUAAAACCUGCGAGAAAGUUUUUACACCUUGAAAUGCACCAACUUUUACAGAUUUGAAAGAUGCAUGCUUAAGAAACAGGGAAUGCAGACAGCGUAAGUAAAUAACUUAGGAAGGUAUAUAAAAAAACUAGUAAUGGAAUUAAAAUACAGGACAAAGUUCAUUCUCUUCCAUCCAAAUUCCUCAUGGUCACUUUGCUUAAUGUGGUUGGUAACAGCUACAAUAAACAUGAUAAAAUCAAAAGAGAAAAACUGCCAUAUAGGCAAUACUUCCACGAAAUGGUUCAAAAGGCUCAAGCACAUAAGAUGUAGAUAAGUGGUAGACAAAGAUUUAUAAGCAAGAUUUAGAUGAUAACAAAGAUGAGAGCAUGGUAAUUUAGAUGGUCAGGUGCAACUUCCAAUCGACAAUUAAAAACUAAGAAUAGUAACAACUCACAAUGGGGGAAGAGCUGUUUGCUGAGUUGCCACUACGAGAAUUCAGAUUAUCCGUUGGACUGGCUGGACCUGGAGGAGCUGCAGCAGUUGAUGCAUCUCCCUUAUGGAAAAACAAAUUUGAUUUUCAGCACAAAAUCUCCACUAAAAUCAGAUUUUUAGCUUUUGUUUUUCACUGAUGGUUGAAACCCUUUCAUUGAAAAAAGAAUCAGAAAAGAAAGCAAGAUUCAUCUACACCUGAUUUCCUUGUGAUGGCUCCCGCUCAUCCCUUUUGGGCAUCAUCCUCUGCCAACAAAAUUAUACCCGAAAAAUCAGAGCUUUCAGUCCAAAAUUUCCAUAAAAACAAUAAUGUGAACAAGAAAAAAAAAAUGUCUACCUGUUGAGCUUGAGAUGGCUCUUCCAUUUUCUGAUUAAAAAAUAAAAGAAAAUAAAGAAUUACUGAACACUAAAAUAUUUCAAAAAAAACUAAUAGAAAACUAAAGAAGAAAAUUAAUAGAAAAGAAAGAAAAUGUAUAUUGAUCAAAACCAGUUGUGCUAGAGACGGCUCUUCCUUUUCGCUAGUCAUUUCAAAAAAGAAAACGUAAAAUCUCUAGGAAAUCACGAUUUUUUUUCGAGUUGAAAUUAAAGAAGAAAAAGAAAUAUAUAUAUAUAUAUAUAUAUAUAUCGAUCAAAACCUGGUGUGCUUGAGACGGCUCUUCCUUUUUGCUAGCCAUUUUCUGGUCAAGAAAAUAUAAAGGAAUUAACGUAAAAUCUCCAUUCAAUCACAUUGAAGCUUUUUUCUGUUUCUGAAUUCUGAACAAUAUAUUCUAAAAACAAAUAGAAAAGUAACAGAAGAGGGAAAAAAAUGAGAAAAUCAAAACUUGUGCUUUAGACGGGUCUUCCUUUUUGCUAGCCAUUUUCUGAAAAUAACAGAAAAACAAAGUGAAAACUCCAUUAAAAACACACAAUGUUGUCCCGUCUAUUCUGCUUCUGAAGACUGAACAUCAAAGCCUUCCAUAAACGAGCUAGAAAUUCAACUAAAAAAACGAAGAGAGAUUGAUGAAAAACCUGCUGUAGCAAAGUUGAUUCAUCCUUUUUGGUAGCCAUAAUAAUCCUCUGAGCUCUCGGAAAUUAAAAAAACCACAUCCCAAACAGUUCACAAAAUCAAACGAUCAGCAGCCUGUGCACCACUCAUCAAUUUCAGCAAUGCCGCUCAUUCACAACAUUUAAACGCACAGAAACUCAAAUUCAAACCAAGAUAACCCUAAAAUAAUCCAAAAAAAAAGAAAGAAAUUUACGUGAAUUUGAAACGUAAUUAGUGGGAAAAGAAGGGAAAAGGGAAAAUGUAGAAGAGAAGAGAAAAAAUGGCGAUUAAGGGAGAAGCGUAAAUCUGAGAACAGAGAGACUUUUUCUCCUUUGGAUCGGAACUCCUUGAGCUGAACGGAAACCCCGUUUCGGUCAAAGCAAAGGAAAAGCCUAAAAGCCCUCCCUCCGAAACCGAAGGGAGCCGUUGUACACGUCUAAUUCUGCGCCUUUUUCUGUGGUCUAAUUCUCUAUUCUAUCCCUAUAUUUUACUAAAACCUAGAAAUUAGUUCCUCUACUUUAAUUUAUAAGAAUUUGAUCCUCCUACAUUAUGCAAACAGAUACGAUAGUUUAAUAGUCGGUUGACACAAGACCUUGAACUAUUGGUAUUUUACUAAUUUAGUACAUAUAAAUUAUUGAACCCUUGAAUUUUACUAAAUCUUUACAUAUAAAUUAUUGAACUAAUGAUGUUCGAGUCAAUGAUUUAAUGAAUGAAUUUAACAACAUGACUUAUUUGGACUAACUUUUCAAUUUUUAACAUAAUACAAGAAGCAAAAUUUGGCAAAUUCAAAUAUAAGGACUAAACUAUAAAUUUUUAUAAAAUAGAGAGGUAGAAUUUAGAUAAUUUUAUUUUUCUAAAAAUAAUUGUUGCGAGGAGGGAGGGAAAUAUGAUGCUCCCGGGAAUAAUUAUAUGCGUUUUCUUUUGAACCGGAAAGCCACCCGUGAAUUGACGAAAUGGGCCCAGCGGCCCAGACGAUUUACGGAAUCGAUCAGGGUUGUCAGCUGAGCUCUGUGGUGUGGGGUCCAACUGGGUUAUGUCGGGACAUGGUGGAUCCAUCAUCAGUUGAUUUGACUGAGUUAAAAACAAAAAGUACAAUCCGUGAUCUGGGGCAUGAAACAUCAGUCGUUUUUGACUGAACCAUUAAUUUUAGUACUCUUUCUAUCUCCUGUUUUAUUCUGCCUUUUGCCUUCUCACAAUUUCUUUUCUUAAAUUAAUUUAUAACUGGAAAAAAGAAGAAGGAUGUGUCAUUUCACUCUCUUGGAAAUGAAGGUAACGUUAUUCCUUUUACCUAUUGCUUGACUUAUUUAUUAUUAAUAUAAUUCUAAAAAUCAAUUUUAUUUUACAAAAUUUUUUUUCUUAUUUUUAUAAAAUAUAAACCUAAACUUUAAACCCAAAUCUUAAAAAUUUUAUUAACAGUACCAAAGUGAAAUCCAAUUAUAGUCCAUCUUUCUUUUUGGGUUUAAUUAUGAGCUCAUUCCCCAUAUUUUUUCACUGAAGUUAGUUUAUUUACUUUUAAUUUUAAAAUUUUAAUUAAAUAAUUUUUUUAUUUAAUAAUUAAAGUUUAAGUGAUAACACAUUCAGAAAUUUUCAUUAAAUUAAAUUAUUUAGCAUUUUAUUUUUAAAAUGGUCACGUUCCUAAUAUUACACACAUGAAAAGCCAAAUAAACAAAUGUUUUUAUUAUGAAUUUAGGGCAACGAGAUUCGUCAACUUUAUUCAAAGAAUCGAAGUAAAAGUUGAUACUUUUUUUUCCCAUAGUUUUCUGCAUGAUUUUAAAUUGAUUGUGUUAUUAAUGCCACAUAAUCCAAUUUAAACCAAUUGGUCAAACAGUUGAACCACUGGUAAAUUUUGUUGUUUUUGCAUUCUUCCUCGAAAAUCUUUUCCUUAUGCGCAAUGUCAUUGUCUUUGAAAAAACCUCCAAGGAAGACAGCAUUGCCUCCAGAGCUAUUUCUAUGGCUAUCGAGUGUCAUGGGCUUUGCGUAAUGGAUAAGAGACCCUCUUACCCCUCCUCCAUUCAGGAGACUUGGUCUUCUCCUCCUAUCAACUAUCAUCAACUUAAUAUGAAUGGGUCUUCCUUUGAAAACUCAAGAGUUGCUGGAGCAGAUACUAUCAUUCGAUAUCAUCGUGGUAAUUGGGUCAUAAGAUGUUAUAAGUUUUAUUGGCCACUCUAUCAAUACGGUUGCAGAACUUAGAGAUGGACUCUACCUUGCCAAUAAUAUGAAUAUUGAUAAAAUCAUUUUUAAACUUGAUGCCUCUACUAUUGUAACAUCAAUGGCUAAAAUGAUAAAAAUAUUAAACAUCAAAAGUUAAAUUUAUCAUUAUACCAAUUAAAAUUAUGAGCAAUUGAUGGAAGACAUCAACGUCGUGAUUAAUUAUCUUUAGUAGUUCACUUUCGAAUUUAACAAUAAUUAAAUUGCUUCAUUUUUUUAGAGCGAUCAAUUUACUCAAUUUUGAAAUUGAAAAGGGUAUUUUUAUUAUGCAAUUUUGAUUUUUGACUCUCUUUUUGAUGACUGCAGGACUACGUUGACAAGCUUCCAAUAUAGUUGUGUCCAACAUAUUUACCAAUAAGGUAACAAAUGUGCUAAUGAAUUAGGUAGAAAAUGCAGCAAUAAUUGUAAAUGUUGUAAUUUUGAUUCUAGGAACCAUGAUGAUGAUUAUGUUGUCUUGUAUAACAUCCCAAAUUUAUGUCUUCGUUUGUGAAAGCAAAUCUUGUUGGCUUUCUUUUGACCGAACUCUUUCUUUAAGUGAAUGUCAUGAUCUCCCUUUUAUUUGACCAAAAAAAAAGCCCAACAUUACUUCAGAGUUCUUCCUUUUUUUAAAGUGAUUUUUAUCAAUAAUUAUUAUGUUAUUUUUUCACCAACGAUUAGGUCGGAUAAAUCAAAAAUCAAUUAUUUAAUUAAUUUAAUUAUUAUCCAAUUUUAACAAUAUUAUACUUCAAUUAUUAAAUUAAAAGAGUAAAUUAAAUAAAUUACUAGAAUUAAAGUAAAUGGACUAAUUUUAAUAUGUGCAAAAAGUACAAAGAUUGAGAGCGUUAUUUAAAUGGCCGAUGGAGUUAAUGUAGCUCAUCAACGGGGUCCAACUUAAUUAAACAAUUAUCAAAAGUUUUUUUUAUAAAAAAAGAAAAAUUAUGUUAAAAUAUUUUUGUUAUUUUAAAUUAUGUAAAUUUUAUACAAAUAUAUAUAAUUGAUAAGAUUCAAACUCAAAACAUCAUGUUUUUAAUUUUAACUUUACCAUUUUGUGUCAUAAACUAAUUAAAUUUAAGUAUUACCCUUAACAAAACUCAGCUUUAUUGUAAGAUAAUAAAGUUUAAUUCUAGUUUAAUUUUAGGUUAAAAUAUGAUGUUAAUCUUUGUACUUUAACAAAAUUUGAUAUUUAAUUUCUAUACUUUAAAAGUUAAAAAAACGUAAACAACAUAGAAAAUCACCAAAAUACCUAAUGAUUGAACUAGUGCCUAAAUACAAUUUUUUGUGCUUGCAAUGAAUUUUUUUUAUAGUUGGGUGACAAUUUAUGUGGUUUAAGAAAGAAAAAACCAAUCCUCUUGCCGUUUCAAUUUAAGAGUUUUAUGUUUUUAGUCAAACAAUAAAGUCUAGUUUAAAACUACUUAUUAUUUAGAUUAAUUAGAGUUGCAGUAUAGUUUUUAGAUGUACUUAGCUAGCCUAUGUAAAAGCCUCUUCGUUGUUCAUUAGAGGUACAAUUGUUUUCAUUAAUAAAUUUUUCUACUCUGGAAGUUAGUUUCUUUGUGCAAAAUUUUUUUCUUAUGAUUUCUAGAAGUAGUUUUCUUCUCGAUUUUCUUCAAAGAAUCGUGAGAAUUCAUUCUUCUUCAUUCAAUUUGUCAAUGAAUUAUUUAUUGGAUACUUAUCCAUUGGUUUAUUCGAUAUAUUUUCUACUAUUUAUUCUAUCAUUUCUUUGCUUAGUUAUUAUUUUGACUAUUUAUUUUUUACUCUUAAAUUUCUUAUUUUUUACUCAAUUUUGUAGGUCUGUCUCUUCUUCUUCUUCUUCUUUGUGAAAAUAAAGUAGAACAUUAGAAAAAACUAGAAAGGCACUAAAGGAGAAGUCUCAAAUAAUUGUAAACCCUCCUCCCUACCAAAAGCUAUCUUGGGGAUGCUAUCAGUUUCCAUGUUUUCAUCUCUAGGAACAUGUUCAAUUGACCAAACUUUCUCAUUUUGUAAAAGUUAUAAGAUACACCUAAUUAAUGCAUAAUUGGAUCCCCUAGAUAAAGAUUCCUUGAUAGUACCCAUGACUUCCAUAUUGUCUUUUUGCACUAAAACCCUAUCAUGUUGUCUACCUUGUGCUAGUGCCACGCCAUCGAGUAUCCCCCAUAGUUUAGCUUCAAAAAACUGAACAUUUCCCCAAUCUUCGAUUAUAGCCAAGUAUCCAAUCUCUAUUUUGAUUUCUCAUUACGUCACCUAUCGCAGCGCAACCUGAGUUGGUUUUAACAGCUCCAUUGGAUCUUAUGUGGAUCCACCUUUCUGCUUCUGCCAUCUCCGCUUUCAAGGUAGGUCUAAUAGUAAUGCCUCCCUUGCAAGCUGUAAUGCAUUGAUUAUCCCAACUGUGCUAAACUUUGACAAUCUCAUCUGCACUCCACGACACCCUAUUAAAGGUGCAAAUAUUCCUGUUCUUCCAUAUCCGCCAAGCAACAAGGCCAAAGAAGCAUGACCAAUCGACAUUCCUCCAGAUUAUGUUGAGUCGACUUUCCAAAUUAGACUCAUUCCAUUCCUGCAAAUUACGUAAAAAGAAAAGGGUUAGUUUAUGGGGGGAUGAUUAGAUUCCAUACGUUACUCGCUGCAUCACAAUCCCUUAAAACAUGUAAUACAUCCUCUGUUUCAUGACCACGAAUUAGACAUCUAACAUCAGUACCCACACCAUGCCUUAGCCGUUCUACUUGAGUAAAUAACCGUUGUUUGAGAGCCAACCAAAAAAAAUUUGCACUCUUUAAGGUCCUUUAACCUUCCAUGGCAAAUUCCAAGCUUCCUUCCUAGGAUUCCACAAGCUCUCCUUAAUUUUACGAUAAGCACUUUUAAUAGAGAAGCAUCGAGAAGAGGUUCUCAACCAAGUAAUUUCGUCAGGCUCUUUUGCAGGAUGUGGAGGAAGAUUACUAGUAAUGUGCCUAAUUAAAUCUUCAGAAAGCCAAACCUAAAAAAGUUUCAAAUUUCAUAUUCCUUCAUAUGUAAUCAUCUCCCUUAAACAACAAUUUGUGGCAAUAUUGGCACUAGCUAGGAUAAGGUUAAUCAUUGGGUCAAUCUCCGGAAUCCAAUUAUCCCUCCAACACUUAAUGGAGUUGCCAUCUCCAACUAACCAGAAAAUAUUUUCCCUAAGCAACGGCCAUACCUUAGAAAGAGCUCUCCAAAGAAAUGAGCAAUUACUACGAACGAUAUUGAGGGGUAUGUCAUCCUUAAUCCCAUACUUCGCACGUAGCACACAAACCCACAAAGUCUCUGAACUUGACAGAAUGUUAAACCCCAACUUUAAUAAAAAAGAAGUGUUCUGAUCUUUCAGCUGCAGGAACCUAAGCCCUCCACGAGUCUUUGGCUGACAAACAGAGUUCCAACUAACAAGGGUCAUUUUUUUAUUCCCUCCCGACGGUCCCCAUAUAAACAAUUGAACAAUACUCUCAAUCUCGUCACAAAUACCUUACGGUAUUCUUAAGGACUACAUGAAAUAACUAGGUAUUAUAAAAAGGACCGACUACACUAAGGUAACUCUACAAGUUAGAGACAAUUGCCUAGCAUUGUAUCUCUUUUUGGGUCUUAAUAAUUGCAUGUCUAUUGUUUUCAUGUUAUCAUGUUAUCAUUUUACUGAGAGUUCUUAAAUAAAUUCAUGACAUAAAGUAUUUAUGAAAAAAAGCUCACUUUUAAGGCUUUUGUAAAAAAAUUGAAUAUUUGUAUAAGUUAAAAAAAUUAAUAAACAAAUUUUGAUACGUUUUUUUGAAGUUCAAAGUAAAAUAAUGAUACUUGCAAUAACUUCUAAUCACCUAAUUUAGGUCGUGGAUUUUGCUCCGUAUCUUCCCACGUAAACUUCUCCACCGUGUACCAGUAUUACAAUCGUGACGCGACAAGCUAAGCUGAUAAAAAGCUACUCUGCUUUUUAUAUCCCAAGAACAGUAUCCUUAGGAAUCUUUGAAAAAAUACAAAGGCUUUCCAUCUGGUAAAAAACUUUGUAUAAGAGAUGUUUCUGGCCCUGGUACUAAGGUUCCAAAAGGUGCUGGUUGCAUAAUCAUUUGAGUAGAAAAAACCGGAGGAGUUGGAAGUUGUUCUAGAUGACUGUGAUCAAAUCUAAUUUCACUGGUUCCAUCAGCCUUUGUAGUAAUCUGGCUUUUUGUAGAUCGAAUUGGCUGAUUAUGUUGGUGGAUCUAUUCAUAAUUAGUUACCCAUUUUUUAGGCAGAAGCUUUAAAAGCUCCUGUUUGGGUAUCUGUUUAGGCACAUGGAUACAGUGUGGCUCUUCUAUUAUAUUUACGGAAAUGAGCAGAGAAUCUUCAGAUCCUUGGUUUGUCAGCUUAAAUGCAUGAUCCUGAACCCGAUACACUAUUUGGUAGUGUAGAGUUGCUGUGACCGCUGAUUCAACCAUUUCAGCACUGAUGAUCUGAAUCUAGACUUUAAGAGCGUCCAUCAGAUUUGGGUCUUGAAGAGACAUGGUGAAGUUGGGAAACAGAGUCACCAUAGCCAUGCUUGAGCUUAAAGUAGCUUCAACAUUUCCUAUACAUGCGUCUUGAUAACGCUUGUAUCUGGAAUCCAGGAGAGCGAUUCUGGAAACAACAGGUUUUCCUGAGGUUCCAUGAUAGUUUAAAGCUAAUCGACCUGCUCUAAAAUGGAUAUGAGAAUAUCCAUGUUGACUCCAUUCUUAAGAAAAGUGAGAGGGUAUCUCAAGUGUAACAAACUGUUCUUCCUGUCCGCCAUAGAUUAGAUGUUUAUCAAAUUUGGAAGACUGGACAUAUUCAUGGACAUUUUUUCUUCUAGUGGUAAUUAGGACUUAAUACUUUUGAUUGGAGAGAAUGAAGGUUUUUGAUAAGCAGAAUAUGGAUUUACAAGAAGAAGAUUUGUAGCUUGAACUUUUUCUUCUUCUGUAAAAUAUUCUACUUCGUACAAAGAAGAAAUUUUUUAGCAAAAUGAGAUCGAAACGGAGACUCAGGUAAAGAUCGGGGUGCUUUAGUAGUAGACAUUCUGGGGGAGUCCAUUUUUGGAAAUCUCUCUUCCUUUCUGAAUAUUAUUUCUCGUAUGGAAGAAAAUCUGCUAUCUACUGGCUCUAAUACCAAGAUAAGUAGAGGAGUAAGAAACCGGGAUAUCACAGAUUAAUGGAUCAUAACAGCGGGUAUGAUAUACCAAAACACAGGCCUUUCUCUCUUCUUUGGCCAUUAACAAGGCACUGCCUUUUAGCUGUUAAUCACAAUUAAUCCGGACUACUUCUUCAAACUCAUCUGGACUUAAUGAUAUCUUUUAUGAGGUUUAAUUUCUGAUUUGCAAGAUCCAUGGAUAUGGCAAACACAGAGCAUACUCUUAAACUCACGAGAGAUUUUCUUUCACAGAUAUUUCAUAUUCAGGCAGGAAGAGAUUAAAAAGAUUUAGUAAGACAUGGUUUUUAGAAACACACUAAAAUUUUAUUUCUCAAACUGGUUCUGCCUUUCUACAACUAAUUUUUCUCCUUUAUAUAGAGAGGAAAAGCUAAGUAAGUAGAUAAAAGAAAAUCUGCUUUUCUUAUAAUAAUUCAUAAAAGAUAAGACACGACUCAGCAAACUUUUACAAAAGGUAAAGGACAAUAAUUUACAUCAGGACAAAAGAGAUAAGAAGGAAUCUAUUUUAGCUCAAUGAUAGAGUUUCCUCUGUGUCAUAGUCAGUGUCUAUGUCAGAGGUAAUAUUAAAUUCUUCUAUUUUCCUCUUUUUUUCUUCACGUGCUCUGUAACUUUUCAGUUCCAGCUAUUCAAUUCUUUUUUCAAUGUCAUCAGGUGGUAUCACAUCAUCAUCAUAGCUGGGAAGUAAAGUGGCUUUUGAUUUCCUAUUUGAUUUUUGGCUUGAUCCUGCUUCAUGUAUAUCCUUCCAUGCUGGUGUGUCUUGCACUGCCUGGCUGCAAUACAUGGGAUAGUCUUGAGACCAUUCUUUUGGAUCUGGCAUGUUGGUCCAAUAUUCAUUCAAGGCUUUCAACUGUUUCUGAUAAGGCAUCGGUAGAUUUUUUGAACAUCCCAUAGUGCCUGUGAUGUUCCUGAGGGCCAUAUCUCUGAAGGGUUGAUUUUAUUGAUCUGGCAUAAAUAUUUCUGCAAAUUCUUGAGAUCAAAAGGAUUUUCGUAAACCUCUUUAAAAUAUGUUUUAUGGAUCCAGAAACCUGGAAGGGCGGCUAACUGUGUAGCUGGUCCAUGCUGCAUAAAAUAUUGAGGUUUAUAAAAAAUAAUUACUAUCCAUUGAACACGUGUGUUUUUGAGAAACUCAAACAUGAGCAUAUCAACCCAGUGUUCUAAAUGAUAAAACCAUUUUAAAAAUGUGGCCAGAUUCUUCAUUUCAAAAGCUUAUUCAUUGUGGAUCGCCAUUGUUAAGAAAUGUUGGAGGUCAUGAAUAAAAAACUCAAUCCCUAUAUGAAAGAGAUGGGUUAAAUACCAUAACAUCCAUUUUAACUCUUCAGGAAAUUCUCCAAACUGAAACUUGAUUGGGUUUAUGAAUAGAUAAUCAGGGUGAAGACCCAAAGGUUUAAGGAAUAAUCCUCCAAAGUUUCUGAAAACAUCUAGUUGAUAAGAAAGCAUCAUAUUCAUGGCUUCUUUAUGGAACAUUUUUUCUAGGAUUAGACUCAAAACUUCUGGAGGGUGAUCAGGAUGAGAAUUUGGGUUAUAUGGGAUAGAAAAUGGUGAAGGUGGUUGUUGAGAUUGUUUCUUUUUUUCUUUUCUUUUGGAGGAAGAAGGUUGGAUCAUGAAAACUUCAAUUGGUUUAGAAACGGGGAUAUCAAGUGGUUUUGUUUCAGGUAGUCUAGUUAAGAUGUCUGCAAGAGCAUUGGCUUUUCCUUUAAUAUGAACGACAUCAAAGGAAAAUCUAGAAAACCAUUCUGCCCACCGGAGAAGUUGGGGAUGUGGUACUUCUUUUUGUUUGAACUGCAACAUUUUUGGAAAAGAGGACAUAUCCAUUUCAACAAGAAAGCGAUAUCCAGUUAAAUGAAACUGGAAUUUAGUGAUUCCAUAUUUGACUGCAAGAAUUUCUUUGAAGGUUGAGUGAUAAUAGAUUUAUGCAUCAGUGAAUUUUCCUCUCUUGUACCCAUAAAGACGUCUUUUCCCAUUGUUUCUUCAAAUAGAAGUGCUCCCCAAUACUUGUCACUUGCAUCUGUUUGCAAAAUUCUUUUUUCUUUUGAAGGAAUCUGCAAUGGCGGUAGAUGAGCUAUUUUCUCUUUCAGUUGCUUGGCUGCCUUGGUUUGUUUGGACUUCCAAGGAGGUGGAUAUUUCUUUAGCAUUUUUCUCAAAGGAUUUGUUAAUUUUGCAAUCUUAGGAACAAAGUCUCUAAGAUAAUUAACAAUUCCUAGAAAUUGUUGAACCUGUUUCUGAGAGAAAUUGCUAUCUGGAAAUUUCUUUAGCUCUUCGGUAAUGUUUGGAUUUGGUUGAUAUAUUCCUUCUUUGAUUAUCAUUCCAAGGAAUUCUAUUUCUUCUUUGUUGAUUAGCAUCUUUCUUUCAGAUAGCAUAAUUCAUUGGUCAAAGACAAUUUGCUUAAAUUUCUCAAGAAGGGCUACAUGGUCUUCUUGGUCUAGGCUGUAGAGUAAAAUAUCAUCAAUUUAGAUUAAAGCCUGAUCCAUGAUGGGUUGGAAGAUUUUUAUCAUGGCCUUUUGAAAUAACGAUGGGGCUGUCUUUAGUCCAAAAGGCAUAACAGUCCAUUGGAAGUGCUUGUUUGGAAUACAGAAUCCUGUCUUAGGCCUAUCUUCAGGGCUUAUACCCAACUGCCAAAAUCUUGCUUUCAGAUCAAAUUUAGAGAAGAUUCGGGCAUUUGCAAGACUUGAGAACACACAAUUCUUGUUAGGCAGAGGGAAUUUAUCAUCUUAUAGGAAAUGAUUAAGGGGCUGAUAAUUAAUUACCAGUCUUAAUUUUCCUCUAGCCUGUUCAGAUAUUUUGUUGACAUAAAACGCUUCACACGCCCAUUGCGAAUCUGAGGUUUCAAUCAAUCCUUCUUCUUAUAAUUGUUGGCAUUCUUUUUCAGCUAGUUUGAGGUGAUCUAGAUUCAUUCCCACAUGACUAGUUUUCGUUGGAUUGAUAUCUUCGUUCUUCUUAAAAGAAAGUUUGAUGAAGAAUUUUAAAUUUUUCCACAAAGGAUGAUUACAUUUCUGCAGGAAUUCUGAAUGGGAUUCUGCACAUGCUUUCUGUUUUAAUUCUUCAACAAUCUCUUGGAUCUUGUCAGCAUCUAUAAUGAAUAGUCUGGGAUAGGUACAUAAGGUUUGAACAUUUGUUUGUACCUUAACCCAUCUGGUAAGAUUCUUAGUUGUUUGGCUUUGGUAUAAAGAUCAAAACCAACAAUAAGAUCUUUUUCAGGAAGCUUGGAGCCCAAUACUGUUGUAGUGAUGAAGCAAGUAGGGAAAAAUUGAAUCUUAAUGGGCUUGCUUUUCAAGUCUGUUGUAAAAACUUUUCCUGAUGCUGAGCUGAAGUAUCUAGUGUGAGGUUCCCACCAUUCUUCUGGUAAAACGUCUGGAUUCAUGAUAGAUUCUGCAGCUCUAGUGUCAAUGAAGGUAAUUACAGUAAUUGGUUUACUGUAUUUUCCCGUAUAGAUAGAAACUGGAAUAUGAGGAACCAUUACUUCAGUGGUUGAAAGACUGUGAAAAGGAUUUUGAGAGGUCCAUAAUAGAUAGUGAUAAUUCCACUGGGAGUAAUUCCACUGGGAUUGAAUCAUAAAUUAUUCACUUGAAGUGGUUUCGCAAAGUUCUGAAUCACUAUAUUCAAAACUUUAAAUUGCACAUAUUGAUUGGUCAUUUGGAUCGUCAUCAAUAGAGAACAAUGACUCAAUGUCAUCUUCGUCGGUGAUUUUGAUUCCCGAUUUUUGUUGUAUCUGCCGAAUCAUCUUUACGCCUUUUUUUGUUUUUUGGGCAUGAUUUUACAAAGUGACCUUUCUGAUUGCAGAUGUAGCAUCGUGUAGACUUGUUCUUUUUGGAGAAUUUCUUUUUUCUCUUUAGAUAUCUCCAUUUAUACCUUCUAUUGGGAAUUUCUCGAGAAAACUUCUUCAUUUUCUGAAAAUGUUUCUUCUUCUUGGUAGGGCAAUAACAUGACUUAUCUUUGCCACAUUUGAUCUUGAGAUGUGAAUCAGUACAUGCUUUAUCUAAUCUUCUGUCACCACGGAGAUAGUCUUUGAAGACAUUUCUUCUGUUGCAUAGAUCUUCUAGAGCAAUGAAUGUCUCUUGCUGAAUUUCUCCCAUGGUUAAAUUGAGAAUGUUCUUGUUCUGCCUGUAAUUUUGAUUGAUUGCCACUUGAAGAGGAUCUGGCAUGGAUGCUACAACAGCUUGCUUUAGGCUUGGUUCUGACUCAAGGGCAUAGAAGAGCUUCAUCAUUGCAUAAAAGUGCUUGGAUAAAUCUUUCUUUUUGUAAGAACAGCACUUUCGCUUGAAGAACUCUCUUCUUUUGAGUGUCAGUAGAUCAUCACAAGAAAUUAUGGAUAAUCCUUAUUUCUUGAAAAAAGUCUGUCAACACGAGAAAUUGUAAUUGAUUCCCUUGAUCAAUCGAAUUCCACCAGUCUUUUAACAUUCCUGUGAAUCUUGAAACGAAUUCAAUCAGGACAUUGUAAUGAUUUUCCUCUGUCAAUUUUUUGGUUUCCAUCAAUGAGUGGAAUUCUUGAAGCCUUUCUGGCCAUCUGGUUAUUGGGACAUCAUCAAGAGUAAAAACCAUUUUUCCCGUAGAAACAUGAGGUGCUGUUCUGGCACUCGAUGGUUCUCCUGCUUCAGUCAUCUCUUCUUCUGACAUUUCUUCAACUUUAACUCCAGAUGAGGCCAUUAUAUCUGGAGGAAUUUCUUCUGUUUCAGAGAUUUCUGUUUCAGAAUCAUUUGAUAUUUCUGAAUCUUCUGAGAGAGAUUGUGAUGAUGAUUUUGAUAUCUUCUCUGAAAAAUCUAGGUUUGAUUCUGGCUCAUGUAAGACAGAUAUUUUUGGGAGAACUUCUCGACUGAAAUCCUUUAAAAAUUUUGUUAAAGGAUUAUGAGACUGUUCUUCCUUCUGCAUCAUUAAAGAUUUUGACAUUUGUUUUGGUGGAGACGAUGAUGGUGAGGAGAAUUGGCUUUCCUCUUAUCCUGUUGUUUCUCCACUGGUCUUUUUCCCAGAGCCUUUUCUUUCUUUCUUUUUUCUUCUGCAGCUUUUCUUUUUUCUUCCUCCUUUUGUGCCUUGAUCUGUAGAUACAAAUCAUAGGUACUGGGUUUUUUUAUUUCUUGAGGCGGAGGAAAAUUAAUUUUUUCUGUUCCUGAUGAUCUUGGUUUAUAAAGUUACCUUAUGGAUGGGAAAAGUUCAAUCCUAUUUCUUGCAGGUUGUGGCGGUGGUAGCUUCCUAUUUUCCUUAAGAUACUUGAUCUGAUCUUUGAGGUUUUGGAUUUCUUUUUCUCUCUGAGUUAGAUGGGAAAAUAAAUCUUGUCCUGGGGCAGCUGGUUCAGUGGCAACUUCUUUAAGCCUUUUCUGGAAAAGCUUGAUAAGAUUCUUGAUCAUCUCAGAGUUUUCAUCUGUCGUUUUUUCAAUCUUUGACACUUUAGUGUCUAUUUGACUGACUUUAUGGUCAAUCUUUUUAAUUGCAGAGUUUUGGGCCAAGGUAUUUUCUGUCUGCCAGUUCAGAGUAGCUUCUGCUGCUGCUAUUUUGACUUGUCGGCCUUUUGCAUCUGCUUGUAGCUUUGAAGGAAUCUUUGGUGCAUGAAGAUAUUCCUUCUUUGAAAAUUCUUCUAAUGGUGGAAAUUCUUGGUCGUAAGAGGAGGUUGUCUCAUACAUGUGGACUUUUGGAAUUGGAUGAGCAGGGGCAACAAUAUUUUGUUCCUCUUGUCUGCAUGAUAUGAACUGAUUGUGUUUCUGGACCCAUUUGUUGAUUCUUUUAUAACAUGGUUGCUUUAAGGGUUUAUCAAGUCAUUUCUGAUCGGGGUCUGUCUUUGGUGGAGAUGGUGAAGGUACUUGUGGUUGAUCCUGAAUUUUUGGGGACUGUGGCUUUCUUGCAGAAUAGUCUACGAGGUAGACAAAUUUUCUAUUAUCUUCCCCUAAAGGACCAAUAUCUGGAUCUCCAUUCAUCCAUCUUUCAUAGAAUUCUGACUGGAUUGACUUUUUGUUGUUUUUCUUUUUGCAGGUGAGUCGGAUGUCUUAAUCAAGUUCUUUAAAAACAUCAUUUCUGCAUCAUUCGCAAAAGCAAUUUAUAUCCCUAUUCUCCUACUUUAAGGCAAAGCUAAUCUACUCUUUGCUUAUUUACAUUACAUCAUAUGCCAGUUUUCGUUUCAUCUUUGGGUUGUGUACUUAUUAGGAGUAUCACUUUUACAUAAAAGGGUGACUCAAGUUACUUAUUAGUUUGUGAUAGGCAAAGUUCCACGACGACUUAGUGGAUAUAAUGCUAGCUAAGUUAGUAAUUACCGGUGGGUUUGAAUGGGCGGUUUGUUUAUUUAUAGUUAGUGUAAAAAUAACUGUGGUGAUAAGGUUAAAUACUGUAACGUGAGACAAAAAGUAAACUAGACGCAUCGUACCGCAUUCUAUCACCCAUCCAAACCCAUUCUAAAUUUUGAUGAUUCCAAAUUUCUAAUUGGUGUUUGUAACAAUAUUGAAAAGUUAGCUCGAGAUUUCAUUUGGGGUAAAGGGUGAAUACAAAAAUCUUUUAAGGGGUUAAAAAUGAAUUAUAAAUUUUUAAGAUGUCAAAAUAUAGAUUUUUCAUGCAUUAAUUUAUGAUUUCAUUAUCUUUGAAGGAACUAAAUAGAAAAAAAUAUUUUUUAGCGGGCAAAGUGUAAUUUUAUCCUAUAUUAAUUUAUAGGGGACUAAAAUUGUAAUUUUCCAUUGAAGGAGGGCUAAGCCUGUGCAACUAAUGGAGGAUAAACUUUAAAACUAUACACGAACUUUGGUUUAACGUAUAAUUGUAUAUAUGAAUUUUGAUUUUGUGCAAUUUCAUACAUGAAAUUUAAAUUUGAUCAAAUUCUCACAAAUUAUUAACACAAUUAUUGAUGUAGCAUCAUUUUAUAGUUAUAUAUUGCAUAUAGAAAUGAUUAUACUUUCUAAUAUAAAAAUAAAUUGAUGUAUUUAUUUAAAUGUGUGUAAUUGAAUCAAAAUUAAAAUUUUAUGUAUGUAUUUUAAUUACAAUCAAAAUUUUAUGUGUCAAAUUGCAUAUUAAAUUAAAAUUUAUGUAUAAUAUUAACAUUUAUCUCGGAUAAUGAUGAAAAAAAGUGAACUUAAUUGAUUGGAACUCGUGUUGUGAUAAGAUAUUGAGGGGAAAAUACAAACUUAAGUAAGCUAUUCCUAAUAACACUGAAAGAGGGAAUUGCUCGUGCAUUUGAGGCUCACUCACUAAAAGUCUGGGAUGAUGUACGAGAAAAUGUCUAUUGGUCUAUAGGGAAUGGUAACUCAACGUGCCUUUGGGUUGACAAUUGGAUCCCGGACUUGGGCCCAUUGAAAAAUUAUCUCCCAAGGCCAAUCGAUAAUGCACAUGACCACGAAACAAGAAAGGUGGAAGCUGAGCGAAAUUCAGGAUUUGCUUCAUCAGGGAGUUAUUGAUCGAAUAAAAUUGAUGGCUCCCCUAAUGCAUCGCUUAGGGAAGAGAUGAUUAGUUGGAAAGGGAGUCCUUUAGGCCUUCUUAAAAUAUCUGAUACUUACACAGCUAUUACGGAGGCUACCUAGAACCCGCAAUGCCCGACGUGGAAGAAAAUUUGUAGGAUGCAAGUGCCGAAUAGGGUACGUCAUUCCCUAUGGUUGGUGAUGCAUGGCCGAUUGCUUAGGAACGAGACGUGCAACAGAUGCUUUACAGACAGGCCUUCCCAACUGUAAUGCUACAGCAGCGGGCGGAGUAAUUAAAGACUGCAAAGGUAAUUGGAUUGUGGGUUAUAGACGUAGCAUUGGACAGGCCCCGGUAAUGCAGCAGGAGUUACUUGGGCAAAGGGGUUUUAAGCAGGUCUUGCUGAGCGGUUAAUACUUAAUAGCCAUGCCUAGUCGCUCAUCAGGAGCAUUUGUGCGAGGUUGCUAUACAGUAAAAUGGGGAGCUACACAGUUUCAAAUUCACCGGUGCCCAAUUCCAGGUGCAUGGGCAUUACCAUGGAAUGAUGUAGGCGGGAUUGUAGUCCCGGGUCAAUGUAAUUCAUAGUAUCGUUUUAUUCCUAAAAAAAAGGGACUUCUAUUGAUAAGGAAGCAAAAUAGAGGGCAAUUUAUACUACAAUAUUUGAAAAUAAAAAGAGAGAUUGUUCCAGUAAAGCUAAAACUAAUUAAUUUUUUAAAAUUCAAUUUGAAGUGAACUUCUCUUUUUCACUAGAAUUAAGAAAAGAAAAACGUAAAACAACGUAAUAGAUACUAAAAUAAGUUUAAUCAUGAAUUUCCAUUUUCUUGAAUUUUUCAAAAUUUAAUCCUGAAAAUUAGAAAAUAAUAUUGUUAAAGUUUGUUGGAAUCAAUAAUUCAAUAAUUUUAUAUGUAAUAAAUUAGUAAAAAUAUAUGUUUAUACACAACAAACCAACAAAAAAAUUUAACUAAUACGAAACAAAACAUUGUUCUUGGAUAAAUACGUACAGAAGUUGGAGUUUAACACAAAAUUUAAUAUAAAUAAACUAAUAAUAAAUAAUUAAAUAAAAUUUACCAAAUUAUAAAAUUUUUAAUUAGCCCGUGUUGUCGGACACGCAACCCUGUGUUCUUUCUUUCCCUAAUUCUAUAAUAAAUAAAUAAAUUCAAUUACCUCCCUUUUCUUUAAUUUGCGAUUUCCCUGUGAUAGGGGAAUUUCUUUUCUUUUUUCUUUUCUUUUUUAGAUUCAAUAUGGCUUGAAAUCCGGGGAUCUUAGGUGAAUUUUCUUUUAGAUUUGUUUUAGUUCUGGCGAGAUGGAGAUAGAGGUAACGGGUUCGAGCAGCAAGGAAUCGUUUGCGAUGGAAGUAGGGGGGUUGAAGAGAAAAGUUGUGGAAGAGAAAGAUCAGGUUCGUGUUACGAGGAAGACUUUGCAAGCUGUGCUGGAACAGUGCCAAAGAGCUAUCGAAUCGAUUAGUAACAGCGAAGGUGGAAUUGACGAUGACGACGAGGAUGAUAAAGAUGACAUGGAUCCUCAAGGGGAAGCCAGUGGCGUCGGUCUUCAAAGAGAUCAAGAAGUCGACGAGGUUUGUUUUGUUCUUUCUGCUUGUUAUCUGCUUUAGGUUUUUGUUUGGGCGCUAAGGGAAGGAGAGGAAUUCUAAUUGAGAAAACUUACAUAGUAACUUUCUUAGCUGGUAGAAAUAAUUGUUUUUAAUGUUGCUUCCUUGUGAAGUUUAGUUUGUAAUUUGUAUUAACUUAUGCUAUGUUCAGAAGAGAAUUUUGGAAUUUUUAUUUCAUAGAGGUUCAGCUAAGUUUAGUAGUUCAUUGGAGGAUUAAGCGUUUCUUCCAUGAGUGAUGAGUAAUUCUGUUUUGAGUUGAACUCAGCUAGAAUGAGAUAAUUAAACAAUUAUUAUAGCUUAAUGAUAGUUCUCAUUUGUAUAAUGG